CUCCCAGAGUCUGUCAGCUAUGUUUGAACUCAGUCCAGCAGGGCUGCCUUUACUUUCUUCUCUACCAGGAAGAAUGCUCCAUUACACUGUGCUUUGCCUCUCUCUCUCUCUCUCUCUCUCUCUCUCUCUCUCUCUCUCUCUCUCUCUCAGAAGAUCAGUAACAGUGUUAUUUUCUGAUCAGUUCAGUAAUACAAUGCCCUCUGAUGUCCACACCAGCAUCUCACUGGAGAAGAAAAGAAUAUUGUUGGCUACCUGGGACCAGAAGACUUCUUAGUGAAUCCUGAAGUGGACUGACCUCAUCUUUCCGAGGCUAUGAUGUUUCAGAACAGUUUCACUAUUGCUGAACAACUGAGACCACCAGGAGCUCCUAAGUGCAAAGAGAUUGAUUGAUGGCUACAUCUCUCAUUCUGGAUACCACUAGAUCAUUCCAGCCACCUGCCACUGUGGUGUCUCCAGACAAGGGCUGACAACCAUAGAAGCAUCGAAGCCCUAAGGCUACUUGGAGAAAAGAAGAAUGCCCCUGGAGAAGGUAGGAGAGUCCUGCUUUGAAUGUCUAAUGUUUCACAAAAGACCAUGAUGGCUUACAUGAGGAGUGACUGUGCUGCAGAGAAGUAGGCAUCUGGCUUAGGGAAAGGGGCCCAGUACAGUGGUCCAUGCUGUACAUCAGAUAAGAGGUGGGGUAGGGAUGUGC